ACCUGCGCUGUCAUGCUUACAACCUAGAUUUGAGGCGGUGUCUCACUGCACUCAGGAAGCUUCAGUGCUCUGCUAUCUUUCCCUUUUCUCUGUCUCUCUUUCGACUUGAAAAAGUCAACUUGAUGUGGAUAAAUCUCCAGAUGACAAAUAAAUAAUAUAUAAGAAAGAAAGGUGGGGACCAGGGGCUUGAACCCGGAUCCCUGUAUAUUGUAAUAUGUGCUUUCAACCUGGUGUGCUACCACCCGGCCCAUUGAAGGCAGGAGAAACUGCUGUGCAACAUAUCCAUAAUCCAUUGGAAAUUUACCCUUAUUCGUCAAGGAAGAGAAAUUAUUCAAACACAUAAUCUUUACAGCAGUUCACUAUGGAUUUAAAUCAAACAGAAGUAAUGGCUGAGAGGGAGUGUCUUCAUUUACCUUGAAACCACUUCAAAUCACAGGUUCCAGAUGCUACCAUGAUGCCAACCAGACUUCCUGGACAGAUGACCCCAUCAAUGUGUCCUGGAGCCCCACUUCCCCAGAGCUCUGCCCCACUAGGGAAAGAGAGAAAGAGGCUGAGAGUAUGGAUAGACCUGUCAAUGCCCAUGUUCAGCGGGGAAGCAAUUACAGAAGCCAGACCUUCCACCUUCUGCACCCCAUAAUGACCCUGGGUCCGUAUUCCCAGAGGGUUAAAGAAUAGGAAAGCUAUCAGGGGAGGGGACGGGAUAUAGAGUUCUGGUGGUGGGAACUGUGUUCUGGUGGAGGGGAUUGUACCCCUCCUAUCCUAUGGUCUUGUCAGUGUUUCCAUUUUAUAAAUUAAAAAAAAAAACAUGCAAAGGGUUGGUGGUGAAUACAUGUAUAAGCAGAUGGGUAUUGAGUUUAUUAUCUAAUUGGAUGGCUAAAUUCUAGUCCUGCCAUUAACUAGAAAGAUGGCACUAAAACUGAAAUCUAUACCUGUAUGUCCACUGUCAUGAUCCAAAUUCCUAGAAUUUCUGAUAUUAUACACUCACAAUAAACGUUAGUUAAAUGACUGAAAAAAGUAGUUUCUAGGAUUCCUCUUUUCUAAGUGCAGUAGAAGUCCUCAGAGGACUAUUUCUGAGAAGAAAAGACCUAGAUACUCACUACACAUAGGUAAUGUUACAGAGCUUCAAGUCAAUCCCUUCACUGGCAUAUCCCUAUGGACGUCUGACCAGAUUGUGUUACUUGCUUAUUUGAGUCAAAAGUAAUUGGCAUGUUAUCACAGAUUGUGUAUGGGUACCUCCUACCUCCCUCUCUAAGGUUCAUCUCAUGCCACUUUCAAAUUUGCUUACUAUCUCUAUAGCUAUUUCCUAAACUUCGCAUAAGCUCCAUUUAAGAAAAAAAAAGACUUAUAUAGCUUUAAAAAUGAAAACAGUACUUGAACAAAUGAUGAUACUCUGCUCCCAAAUACAGUCCAAUAACUUCCUUAGAGCUAGAACAGAAUCCAGUCCUCAUAUUUGUGUUCCAGGUCCUAGAUGAUCUGUAUCUAGGCAUCUUCUCACCCUCAUAUCUACCAGUCCCUGAGCUUUUCACAUGCUUCUAGGUAUAUUAAUCUUCUUGCUAGUUUAGGCAUAUGCUAACUCAUCCUAAUUUAUAAUUUCUGCUAUCUGCUUGGAAAUCUCUUUUCCCAUGCUAUUAACAAGGCUUGC